rnacentral:rRNA from 1 species
UACGUAGGGUGCGAGCGCUGUCCGGAAUUAUUGGGCGUAAAGGGCUCGUAGGCGGUUUGUCGCGUCGGGAGUGAAAUCCACUGGCUUAACUGGUGGCUUGCUUUCGAUACGGGCAGACUUGAGGCAUUCAGGGGAGAACGGAAUUCCUGGUGUAGCGGUGAAAUGCGCAGAUAUCAGGAGGAACACCGGUGGCGAAGGCGGUUCUCUGGGAAUGUCCUGACGCUGAGGAGCGAAAGUGUGGGGAGCGAACAGG